GCGUGGCUUGCAGGACAGGCAGCCAUUGUAGUCGGAGCAGGUCAGACAGCCGCCCUGCUGACACCCUGAGCUCACACCAGAGAUCUCUGUUGAUUGGAACAAGGUCCCACAGGCUGACGUCACAUCUAACUGCCAUCUGGGGGUGAACCACAUUUGUACCAGAAUAAAUCCAACAUAACUACCAGCCUACAACAACACAGCUGCAACAGCAAAAGUCUGCCAGCCCAUUCCUGUGGUGUCAGGGUCCAGGGGGUGUCGAGAGAGAGCUGACCCCCGAUGUACAGCAAAUAAAACUGAUUUACAGCUGCUCCGCUGGCUUCACCACACUUUAUAAAACUGUCCUGAGCAGAGUUACGACCCCCAGACAGACUGACAUCACACUGGCUCUGUGAUCUGACCUUGCGCUGACCUGGGCCAGUAUCUGGUUCACCUGUCCAGAGGGGAUCUCCACAUCAUACAGCCAGGUCAUUACUCUUUAUCAUUGUCAUCUUGUGACUGUGCACUGAGCUAAAUAUGAAAAAUUAUCAAUAUUUAUUUAUAAAAACUUUUAUGACAAGUUAAUGACGUAGGACAUCUUUACACCACUCCUCUUCUUCUGUGUUGGUCUGUAAAGUGCAGGUGGAUGGUAUGCAUUUCUGAGAUGGACAGGGUAAAAGAAAGACCCAGGAGUGGGGUCUGUGGGGGGAGGGGUGAUGAUCAGAAAUGGCCCUUUUGCUCCCUCCUGUGGGCAAAAUGGUCCAAUAUAACCCAUCAACGGUUUUGUCAGGAUUCCAAUACAAAUACAGUAAAAUACUGCGAUAAAAAACACAUAACUCAAUAGCACAAAAUGAAUAGAGUUGGUCAGUAGUGCACCUUAAGGCCAGUUGUCUAUUGUCUUCUGCACAUUGAUAAGAUACUCAUGUUAGCUGUAGUCAUUUACAGCAGCACUAAAACAAUGAUUUUACCCACACUGCUAACUUCUAAUGUUCAGUUUUGUAGAACUCUCAUCUGUUUUACUCAGAUGAAUACAACCAAGUGCAUUUAGGGUAACGUAACAUUUUGGACAACUGUAAGUGAGAAUUCUCAGCAAUAUAUCCGACCUGGUCAUGAGAAGAUCUGUGGGAAUCCUGUAGGUUCUGAUGAGAUCCACAUGGAAUUUCUGACACGUUUCUCAAAUUAGUAAUUUUAAAAAUGUUCCCUUGUAUUUGUAUUCCUAAAACUCAUAAUGUAAACAUCCAAUGAGGAUUUUUUUUAAAUGUUCGACCUUUUGGUCAG